rnacentral:rRNA from 1 species
GACGAACGCUGGCGGCGUGCUUAACACAUGCAAGUCGAACGGAAAGGCCCUGCUUUUGUGGGGUGCUCGAGUGGCGAAAGGGUGAGUAACAAGUGAGUAACCUGCCCUUGACUUUGGGAUAACUUCAGGAAACUGGGGCUAAUACCGGAUAGGAGCUCCUGCUGCAUGGGGGGGGUUGGAAAGUUUCGGCGGUUGGGGAUGGACUCGCGGCUUAUCAGCUUGUUGGUGGGGUAGUGGCUUACCAAGGCUUUGACGGGUAGCCGGCCUGAGAGGGUGACCGGCCCCGUUGGGACUGAGGUGCGGCCCAGCCUCCUGCGGGAGUCAGCAGUGGGGAAUAUUGCACUAUGGGCGGAAGCCUGAUGCAGCAACGCCGCGUGCGUGAUGACGGCCUUCGGGUUGUAAACCGCUUUCGCCUGUGACGAAGCGUGAGUGCCGGUGAUGGGUAAAGAAGCACCGGCUAACUACGUG